CCUACGGGGGGCAGCAGUGGGGAAUUUUGGACAAUGGGCGAAAGCCUGAUCCAGCAAUGCCGCGUGCAGGACGAAGGCCUUCGGGUUGUAAACUGCUUUUGUACGGAACGAAAAAGUCUUUUCUAAUAAAGAAGGCUCAUGACGGUACCGUAAGAAUAAGCACCGGCUAACUACGUGCCAGCAGCCGCGGUAAUACGUAGGGUGCAAGCGUUAAUCGGAAUUACUGGGCGUAAAGCGUGCGCAGGCGGUUAUAUAAGACAGAUGUGAAAUCCCCGGGCUCAACCUGGGACCUGCAUUUGUGACUGUAUAGCUAGAGUACGGUAGAGGGGGAUGGAAUUCCGCGUGUAGCAGUGAAAUGCGUAGAUAUGCGGAGGAACACCGAUGGCGAAGGCAAUCCCCUGGACCUGUACUGACGCUCAUGCACGAAAGCGUGGGGAGCAAACAGGAUUAGAUACCCCGGUAGUC
rnacentral:rRNA from 1 species